rnacentral:siRNA from 1 species
AAGGGCAUCUCCAUCAAGGAGAAA